GCGACGAAUUUUCUCGAAGUUAGAAUGUUGAGUAUAAAAAAUGAAAAAAAAGUGUUGCAAAACGUCAACCCUUGGCGGCGUCUGUUGAAAAUCUGUUCGAGCCGCGUUUUCACGCUAUGCUACACUGUGCUGAAUGACGCAUAUUCGUACUGCACUCGCAACAAGCAAUAAGAAUAUUAUCCAAGUAUCAGUUUGUUUCAGUUCAGUUUGUGAUGUCGCCCUUAAACAUGCUUCUUAUGUCAACAAUUUUCCUGGGUAUUUGCGUCCUGAAAAUACUACGAAACAGCGUUUGUUUCCAGGCGUGAUUCCAAUACAAUGCCGCGAAAGCGUAAGGCCAGCCGACAACCCGCUAAGGAGACCACAAAAAAGGCAAAAACUGUUAAGGAGACCCCCAAAAAGAAUGCAGAAAAAGAAAAAGUAGGUGAAACCUGCCGAAUUUGUUUGCUCGAGAUGGAAGAUCCUUAUGAGUUGCCCUGCGGUCACUCCUUCUGCAAGGGUUGCAUUCAAAAGACGUUUAAGGCGAGAAAUGAUGGAUAUGUUCAGAGCUGUCCAAUGUGCCGGGCUGUAUUUCACACCACUCUGUUCAAAACUAAAAAGCGUCAGCGACAGUAAAUCCAGUCUUCAACAUCAACACAUAAUUGACACUGUAAUACAUAAUUCGCUCUGAUGGAGUUUGUGAUGCCCUCGCCACAUACACAUACAUAC